GAUAUUGGUGUUAAUGUAGGAGGACAUGAGUUUCGAAUGCACUGAAGCGGAUUGUAUUGAAUGGGAAUUGAAAUGGGUGAAUUUAUAUAUUUAUUUUUAAAUUUAAAGAUUUAGGGUUACAAACAAACAUUCUUACAUACAAAUCUCUUAUAAAUGAUUAAAUGGGAUUAGGAGAAAUAGAGGGAAUGCGAGAUAUAAAAUGAAGUGAAGGGAGGGCAGAAAAUCCAAAGUAGGGGACCUGCAAAACCCAAGAACGCUUUGGCUCUUAUGUAUGGAAUUAACUGUUUGUUACAAAUAGUCUUUGUAUUGACCGAUAAAAAAAAGAAGUGAAAUUUGUUGCCGCUUUUGCUCCUUCCUUAACCUCCUCCUUUACCCCAUAAUAAACUCCAGGUACUUUGUUUUUGGCUUUGCCUCUGCUUCCUUUUUCCUCGGUUUUCUUCUUUAAAUUCCCUUAAUUUCUCAGCUUCCAUGGAAAUACAAGAGAGAAGAACAUCAGAGGUAGCUCUUUCUUUUUCUCGUAACUCAAGUGCAGGUGAGCAUCUCCUGUUUUCAUCGAUAAUUAAGAUGAUUACUUUUUUAUUUGUUUUCCAUGUGGAUUGGUUGGUGAAUCUGCCUGGCUCCCUGAAUGCCAUCUAAGAAGCUUUGUCAAGCACGGUUGGCUGCCUUCUUACAUGGCAUGAGGGGAGUCAUGCAGGUUUAACUGUUUCAUAUCUUCAUAAGGAUAUGGAUGAAUUCAUAGAUUUUUUAUGGGGUUUGAUCUUCAUCGGCUCAACAUAAUUGUUAAUAUUAAUGUUAGUUAGCUGUAUUUAGAUAAUUAAAGUGAAAGUGCGGGUGUGUAUUAUUUAGUAGCUGAGUUGAUAGACAAACUACUGAAGAUUAGACAAGAAAAAGAGAUGAUGAUAUUAUAUAAAAUCUAGCAAUAAAGUGAGGAGAUUUAAUAAAUUCUAAUGUUUGGCUGCUUCUUCAACUUAUUCAAAAAGUGAGUGGUUAGUGCUAAUAUUUUACUGCACAUGUGGCUGUCAUGGAAAGGAAUUCACACUGUGCAGGGCAUUAUAACACUCAUGUAGGCCCUUCUUUUUACCAUUAAUUUUAGGACCCAAGGUGUAUAAGCUGCUAUCCAAAUAUUUUUAUUCAAGUCAUUGAAUUGUUAAGUUUUUUUUAGUUUGGUUGGUGAUAUUUAAAGUUGAGUAGCUAAAUAUUUUUUUUAAAGAUCUUAAUUCGCAAAUUCGUGACGUCUAAAGUUGUUUCAUGAAAAAAAAUUAAACGGUAGAAGAGAAAGAGAAAUAUAUCCUUCCGAUUGGUGUUAAAGGUGAGUACAGAAAAAACCAUACAACGACGAUUUUAACAGUUUAGUAGCUUAAAUGAAAUCUUUCAACUAAUUUAAUAAUCAAUUUAUAACUAUUUAAAGUUGAAUAACCAAAUCAUAAACGUAUUAAUAAUUCAAUCACCUUAAAUCGAGUCUGCCCUUAAUUUUAAGUUCUGAAUUUUACGAAUAAAAAAGACCUGUAAUGUUAUUAUAUUUAUAUUAAUAAUCAGUUUUAUAUUAUAUAUGCCCUAGAAUCAAUCUUUGCACGUUUUCGCCGGUAUCAUUUAGGUUACAUUUUAUUAUUUUAUUUUCAUAAAAAAAAAAAGGAUACCUAAAUAAGCUGUCAAUGUUUACGUAAACCCUUUUAACUUUUAUUUUACACAUAAAUAAAUACCUUUACCUAAAUAAACCCUUAACCUAAAUCAUUAAAAUAGGGAUUUGCUUAAAAACAAAUCAAAAUAUAAGAACUUAAUUGAGGAAAAAAGUAAAAGAAGUUAAAAGUUCAAAAACCCAUUUUAGUGUUUUAACCAAUUAUUACACUUGGAAUACCAUUCAAACAAAAGUUAAAUUUAAUUAGUUGUUUGAUUUUAUAGCUUCCAACUACCCAUGUCUACAGUCAAACAAAAGCAAUCUCUAGAUAAAUUGAAUUUCGGGAAAGUUUUGAAAUUCUAAAUAAUUAAAAGAUCAUUAUGUGUAUUUAAUUUUACGUUUUAGAAAUUAGAGAGCAAAACCAUGUCUAUUAAUAAUAAGGUUUUGCAUGGAUAAGAUGUGGAAGAUAUACGUAAAUAUUAUUUUCUGUUAUAAUGAAUAAUGAAAUUAUUAUUUUAUGUGUUUCCUGCUUUUUCUUUUGCUUGUAUUUUCUAGUUUCUAUUUUAUUAUAAAUAAAUAAAAACUUUGAUAUUGAACAGCCUAUCUAUUGUUGCGGUCCAACCCUAUGAUGAAGCAAUUUUUCUUUUUCUUUGUCGCUAUACCUUAUGGUUUUACGGUUUUAAAGUUUGAGCCUGAAGAUAAAAUUAAAAUUAAAAAAAGGUAAAGAAAUGAAUAUUUGUGAUUUUGUCACUAUUGUAGUGAAAAGUCAAAAGACAAGAUGGAAAGGCAAGUCCAGGAAAGGGUUGCCAAACCUGACUCGGCAUGAGAGUGACUCAACCCUGAAAUCAAAUCCAUCUAUACCCGAAUUAUUAUGGUUUUAAUUGAGACCAGUGAUAAAGAAUUUGUACACGUGUUAAUGAUUGGAUAUAUAUUUUUUGAGGUUUUGAUUAUAUUUGUUUUUUCGACACAAUAUUUAAAAUUACUCAUAGUCCCUCUCCAAUCCAUAAAUAAGAGAAUAAUGCAUUUUAAUGCAUUCAAACUCACAUCCUCUUAUAUUGACAACAAUACUCACGUCAAUCGAUAGUUAUUGAAUAUGUUUAAAUAUUAUAUAAAAGCAAGACAUAACAAAAAUAUCAUCAUAAUAAUCUUAAUUCAUUUUAAAAAUAUAUACAUUAAACUUUUUUUUAACUAAAUAUUCUGUAACACCAGUUGAUUUUAUAGAUUAACAUCAUUCAUGUAAUAAUAAUUAAUACAAUACAAUUCCCCCAAUUGAUUUCUCAAGUGCUUGUCUUUAUUUUUUAUUUUUUUAAAAAGUAAUCAUUUAAUAUUUUAUUUUUAAAAAAAUUCAUUUAUGUCUGAAUUCAAUAUCAAUGAGAUAUUAUUUCCUGAAAAUAAAAUGAAUUCUAUCAUGUGGAUAUCGAUGCUUAUAUUUCAUGAAAAUAAAAAUGAAUUGUAUCACUAAUAUCAUAUCCACAAAAGAACAGCUUGCUAUUUGGACGACCAGUUCUGGAUUGAAGAAGGGUGGAAGAAGAUAAGGUUGAUAAGCCCCCUAAUUAUUAUAAAAUUAUGCUUUGAAAAAUAUUUUUAAAUAUAUAUUGGGUGAAAUUUGACAUUUGAUGGUUAUCAGUCUCCAGUUUAGUUUUCGUUUCUUUGUUUGAAAUAAUAAAUAAAAAUAAAACAUGUAAAGUAAAUUAAACUAUUGGUGAGCAAUGGAAAGAUGCUUGAAAAUGUAAAAGCCUAAGAAAUCACAUCCGGUCCAAGAAAGAUUAAUCGCCUUAGAAACGGAAUAAUGGGCUGUACCUGAACCAGCCUUCACUCAUUUCCAACUUAAAACAAGAGUUCAAUAGACAUUAUUUUAGCUUGCAACAGAACAGGGCAGCUUCUUCUUCAUUCUUGAACAGCAGUAUUACAUCAGUAAAAGAUCCUUGUAUCGCAUCAAAACCUACUUUUCAACUUAAAAUAGAGGCUAAUUUAACACACAAAACGAUAUGCCCUGAAAAUCCAAACAUAUUAAAAAAUUGGAAUAACUUAUAUUUGACAUGAAUAGUUGCAUCAACAAUGUUCCUUGAUCAUCAAAGAAUUGAAAACUAGCGUCAGUUCCAUUUGGUGUAAAACUAUAUUACAAAGUUCCUACAGAAAUGAAAAACAAAUGCUAAAACCAAUAGACUGAUCUAGAAUGUAUCUGUCAGUGAUUCCUUUUUUUUUUCUAAGUUUCCUACCAUUGUUUUUCUUCAAGAUCUACACUGUAAUCUACAUCAGCAAAGAACUGCACAUAUCCGAACUAAUAAUACACACAUUAAAGUAGCAAUCUCGCUUAUACUUCAUCAUAGUCUUCAUCAUCUAUUCCCCCAUUCGAAUCAGCAAGUUUAAUAGGAUCAAUAGCCAUCUUCUCGAUUUCACAAAGUGACCAACCAGGGUAUUCUUCUCUAUUUUCAGGGAUGUCAUCUGUUCUUGGACUAGCAGCAGCAAUGGAUGUGAUCAAGUCCCCAUUCUCAUCCAAGUCUGCAUUGAGGUCAAUGUUCCGAACUGGAGUUUUGAUGUUCUUGCCUGCAUGAUUAUGUUUCUUUGACUCAUCAGACUCUAC
rnacentral:lncRNA from 1 species